CCAAUAAAACCACGGUAUUCUAACAAGAACAAUACAUAAAACAAAACGGAAACAGUUUGAUGAAAAUCUAAAUGUAGGGUUCUAGUCCAAGGUUGAAGAUACGAACAAAAUCUUGCAUCUGAGUAGCCGUAAGGCAAACGCCUAUCUCCAAAUCUUGGUGUUCCCGCAAUCGAUAUUAUUGCUGUUGGUAUCCGGUCAGACAACAUCGCUUCCAAAGGUUGAUGAAGUGAUUCCUCGUAAUUGAAUAGACAGAAACUUGCUUCAUAGGACUCACUU
rnacentral:lncRNA from 1 species